rnacentral:misc_RNA from 1 species
UGGAUUCCAUGAGGUAGAACCCAAACAGGGAAUGUCAGUCAGUAACGCAAGUCAGUCAGUCAGUAUGUAAUAGCUGCUGGCUUUACGACAGUCUCGUUUCACCCUGUAACGCGAAUCGCCGAGGUUUUACCGCGAAUUUUGUGAUUGAAAUUAUUUCUCCUCAGGAGAAGGAGUAGGGACGAAAAACUGGAGAUCGAAUCAACAUGGGGCUAUUCAAGUGGCCUAUCGAGAGGUCCAAUGUGAGAACAAUGGAGUGCCCUUGGAAAAAGAUGGGUGCUGGUGAUGAUGAUGAUGAUGAUUGUGGCACUGUGGUGUUUAAAAUGCACUGGUUUGGGCCGAUGGUGCUGCCUUGUUAGUGGCUAGGGGGGAGGGAACAAGUCCGUUGCCACCUAUGAGACUAUCUACAACUGAAGAUCGAGGCAAGCCACGGGAUGGUGAUACUACAGCCCAGCUGACCCACCCUGAUGACGACGAGACAACCCUAAGGCAGUUGCUUAUGAGUCUGCAGAAGCAGGUGACAGUGAUGAGCGUCAACUUGAACGCCAAGUUGGACGAACUCCAGCGUUCAGACCGACAGCUGGAGACGACAGUGGCAUUGUGUGAGAUAAGGUCCCAGCUCCAGGAGUUGACAAAAUCUGUCGAAUCGUGUCAGUCUGAGGUGUCGGAAGUGAAGAGGGACAUGGUGGCAAUAAAGCAUGAGGUUGACACGUUCCAGCAGGUCAAAGAGCAGAUUGAAGAGCUCAAAGUAUUUGUCGAUAGACUAGAUGAACAGACUCACAGGCGGAAGCUAAGGCUACUGGAGCAGGGAUUAACAUUCUUUCUGUCUUACACAAUAAUGGCUUCUAUGCUCGGGAUGUUCCAAUUUGGGUACAACACAGGUGUCAUCAAUGCUCCAGAAAACAAUAUUGAAAAAUUUAUGAGAGACGUCUACAGGGAUAGAAAUAAAAAGGAUUUGCAAGAAGAUUCUGCUAAACUUAUGUAUUCCUUCGCCGUGUCGAUAUUUGCAAUAGGUGGAAUGAUUGGAGGAUUCAGUGGUGGUGCAGUCGCUAACAAGUUCGGAAGGAAAGGGGGUCUGCUGAUAAACAAUUUUGUGGGGAUCAGUGGAGCGGCUAUGAUGGCCUUUACAAAAGCAUGUAAUUCAUAUGAAAUGCUUUUCCUAGGAAGGUUCAUUAUUGGUGUUAACUGUGGUUUAAACACUUCCCUUGUGCCUAUGUACAUAUCUGAGAUAGCUCCAUUAAAUCUAAGAGGAGGUUUAGGGACUGUGAAUCAACUGGCUGUGACAGUUGGAUUACUGAUAUCUCAGAUCUUAGGUAUAGAUGAAAUUUUAGGAACAGACGAUGGUUGGCCUGUUCUAUUAGGUUUAGCUAUUUGCCCUGCUGUAAUACAGCUUAUCCUUCUUCCAAUUUGCCCUGAAUCACCAAGAUACCUGCUCAUUACGAAACAAUGGGAGGAAGAAGCACGGAAAGCCUUAAGAAGGUUGCGAGCUUCAAACCAAGUUGAGGAGGAUAUUGAAGAGAUGAGGGCAGAGCAGAGAGCUCAACAAAGUGAAAAUACAGUUUCAAUAUCUGAGCUGAUCUGCUCACCAACCCUUAGGCAACCUCUAAUAAUCAGCAUAGUUAUGCAGUUGUCCCAACAACUGUCAGGGAUUAUUGCUGUUUUUUAUUAUUCCACGGAUAUUUUUAUGAACUCAGGGCUUUCAGAAGAAAUAGCUAAAGACAUGACCAUUGGAAUCGGUGCCAUAAUGGUUAUAAUGACUUUAGCGACUGUCCCACUGAUGGACAGAAUGGGUAGACGGACUCUUCAUUUAUAUGGUCUCGGAGGAAUGUUUAUAUUCUCAAUAUUCAUAACAAUCUCAUUCCUAAUAAAAGAGUUUUUCGGUUAUGUACAGGAAAUGAUAGACUGGAUGUCAUAUUUGUCCGUCGCAUCAACAUUAAUGUUUGUGGUGUUCUUUGCCCUUGGCCCGGGCUCAAUCCCUUGGCUCAUUACUGCGGAGCUCUUCUCCCAGGGGCCAAGGCCUACUGCAAUGUCCAUUGCGGUCCUUGUCAAUUGGCUGGCGAACUUCCUUGUCGGAAUCGGUUUUAAACCGAUGCAGCGAUGCUUAGAAAAUUACACUUUUCUGCCAUUUGCUGUACUCCUUGCUGGUUUCUGGAUCUUCACGUACAAAAAGGUCCCAGAAACAAAAAACAAAACCUUUGAAGAAAUUCUGGUAUUGUUUAGGAAUAACAAUGGAAGAAAAAAAACUGUUAAAUUGAGAGAAAGAGAGAGAGAAAGCGAGAGAAAGAGAGAAAAGGAAGGUGUGCUACCUCUGUUUGCAGGAGCACGCUUAACUGUGUGAAUUCAUUAGAGCAACGAUUAGCGACAACAGAGCGCUCAACGGUCAACCCUCUCCCUCAAUCAUUUGCUUCCGAGCAUUUUUCUCAAGAUCUGGGUCAACCCGUAAGGCCCCCUCCCCCACUACCUCCGCCACGCCACCCGAACAACGGUGU